rnacentral:hammerhead_ribozyme from 1 species
GCACUGCUGACGAGUGCCAAAACAAGGCGAAACAGCUGUCAAGUAC